rnacentral:sRNA from 1 species
AGAUUACCGAAUUAUACAAACAAUAUGAUUUUGGAAAAGUUGUUCGGCUGUUACGGACGUUUUAUACCAGAGAGCUCUCUAACUUUUAUUUCAGUAUAAUCAAAGAUAGGCUCUAUUGUGAAAAGGAAAAUGACCCCAAACGACGCUCUUGUCAGACUGCAUUAAUUGAAAUUUUGGAUGUAAUAGUUCGUUCUUUUGCUCCCAUUCUUCCUCACCUGGCUGAAGAGGUGUUCCAGCACAUACCUUAUAUUAAAGAGCCCAAGAGUGUUUUCCGUACUGGGUGGAUUAGUACUAGCUCUAUCUGGAAGAAGCCCGGGUUGGAAGAAGCUGUGGAGAGUGCGUGUGCAAUGCGAGAUUCAUUUCUUGGAAGCAUCCCUGGCAAAAAUGCAGCUGAGUACAAGGUUAUCAUUGUGAUAGAACCUGGACUGCUUUUUGAGAUAAUAGAGGUAUGCAGCAAUAACAUACCUUUUGAAAUGGUGUUAGUAUCAUAGAGCUUUGCCUGAAAUUUGCUUUUAAAAUGUGUCUAAAUUAAAUAACAUUGGGUUAUGUGUAACUUUACUAUGCAAUUAUUCUAUUAUGUUCCUUUUCAUGUACUUUUUCACUUUUAAAUAUCUUUUAAUAAAUUAAGCAAAGUCAAUGCACAUUUAAAAAAAA